rnacentral:lncRNA from 1 species
GUUCAUAUUAUACUAGUCGGAUGCAAAUGUUUACACAAAUUAUGUCCAUUAAACGACAUUUAUAGUUGUAAUUGCAUUGAUAAAUGAAUAUGUUAACAUUCUGACUAUUAUAAAUGCGGAAGAAGAAUUGUCUAAUUUCAUAACCAAAGUGUUCAUUCAUCAAAUUCAUAAAUAAUUGUAAACUAAGUCUUUCUUCACGAAAUUACAAAACAUAACAACAACUAAAAUGAUGAUGAUCAUCAUCAUUGUCCGUGUCGUCGUCUGCGGACAUACACAGACAUGUCCUCAGUGGCUGAUCAGGCUAGCAUCAAGGCUGUCUGUGUCCCUUCCCAUGCAGNNNNN